UACCAGCACCCCGAGUGGUCUGGACGAUUAUUGGGCCUAAAGCAUCCGUAGCCGGUCCUGCAAGUCUUCCGUUAAAUCCAGCUGCUCAACAGAUGGGCUGCGGGGGAUACUACAGGGCUAGGAGGCGGGAGAGGCAAGCGGUACUUUAUGGGUAGGGGUAAAAUCCGUUGAUCCAUAGAAGACCACCAGUGGCGAAGGCGGCUUGCCAGAACGCGCUCGACGGUGAGGGAUGAAAGCUGGGGGAGCAAACCGG
rnacentral:rRNA from 1 species